UGGGGAAUUGUUCACAAUGGGCGCAAGCCUGAUGACGCAACGCCGCGUGGAGGAUGAAGGUCUUCGGAUUGUAAACUCCUGUUGCUCGGGACGAAAAGCUCCGACCUAACACGUCGGAGUCUGACGGUACCGGGUGAGGAAGCCCCGGCUAACUCUGUGCCAGCAGCCGCGGUAAUACAGAGGGGGCAAGCGUUGUUCGGAAUUACUGGGCGUAAAGGGCGCGUAGGCGGCCUGUUAAGUCGAACGUGAAAUCCCCGGGCUCAACCCGGGAACUGCGUCCGAUACUGGCAGGCUUGAAUCCGGGAGAGGGAUGUGGAAUUCCAGGUGUAGCGGUGAAAUGCGUAGAUAUCUGGAGGAACACCGGUGGCGAAGGCGGCAUCCUGGACCGGUAUUGACGCUGAGGCGCGAAAGCCAGGGGGAGCAAACGGGAUUAGAUACCCCGGUAGUCCUGGCCCUAAACGAUGAAUGCUUGGUGUGGCGGGUAUCGAUCCCUGCCGUGCCGAAGCUAACGCUAA
rnacentral:rRNA from 1 species